CUGGGCAGCAGUACAAGGUGCUAACUCUUAGGGACAGCGUUGCUAGUGCAAAUGGAUGGUAGCUGAGUAUUAUGGAAGAGCGAGGAUAUCGCUGAAGGUCACAGCACUGAGGAGAGAGUCUCCUUUAUCUCAGGACAUCGGAACUGGAUUCAAAUAAAGGGUGAAUUUUAGCCAUCUCAUCUUUUAAAGGGAUGAAGGGGACACACAAAAAAACCAUUCCCACGAAAGCAAGAAAUGGGAAAAGACUGUCACCUAAGUGCAGUGGCCCUUCGUAAAAGAAGGAGUUGGAAGUAUUCCCACUGAGUUCUGAGACCGUGAGAGAGGGCUGUUUCUGUGCCCAGACUUAUGCUCCCCAUCACAGUACAGUGCCAUCACAGAGGAGAGUCAUCACACUGUGCUUCUCAGGCCUGUGAUUUUCAAGUGCACAGUUCCCAGUGCCAGUGAGUGGAGCUGUGUAAGCAGGGAUUCACAAGCUGUCACCCGGAGCUACAUUCACACAAGCACUAAUAUCAUUCAUUUCCCCUGUGAUGCUGUGAGAAGUGCAAGCAAGGAAAAAAUAGAGUAUUCUGGUGCAGUCUGUUCACUGGCCACCUUCUUGGGAGUCAAAUUAUCUUAAUGUAUCAAUAAAAUCUGAGUGAGUCUUCAUUCUUGGAUGUUCAGAAGGAAAGAAGUUCUAUGUCCUGCAGGGAUGGCCAAGUCCUUUCUUUCUGAUACUUCAUUACAGAUCUCAGAUAUCUUAAAGCUGACUGUGAAGGAAAUGCA
ensembl:lncRNA